GACGAACGCUGGCGGCGUGCCUAAUACAUGCAAGUUGAGCGCUGAAGGUUGGUACUUGUACCAACUGGAUGAGCAGCGAACGGGUGAGUAACGCGUGGGGAAUCUGCCUUUGAGCGGGGGACAACAUUUGGAAACGAAUGCUAAUACCGCAUAAAAACUUUAAACACAAGUUUUAAGUUUGAAAGAUGCAAUUGCAUCACUCAAAGAUGAUCCCGCGUUGUAUUAGCUAGUUGGUGAGGUAAAGGCUCACCAAGGCGAUGAUACAUAGCCGACCUGAGAGGGUGAUCGGCCACAUUGGGACUGAGACACGGCCCAAACUCCUACGGGAGGCAGCAGUAGGGAAUCUUCGGCAAUGGACGAAAGUCUGACCGAGCAACGCCGCGUGAGUGAAGAAGGGUUUCGGAUCGUAAAACUCUGCUGGUAGAGAAGAACGUUGGUGAGAGUGGAAAGCUCAUCAAGUGACGGUAACUACCCAGAAAGGGACGGCUAACUACGUG
rnacentral:rRNA from 1 species